AAUUAGAAUUGAAAUAUUAGGUUAGGGCAAAAGUAAUUGUAAGUAAUUGCGUCUUUUGCCUUUCAAAGUAAUGGCAAAAACUGUAAUUACUUUUGCACCAACCCAUU
rnacentral:miRNA from 1 species